rnacentral:rRNA from 1 species
GACGAACGCUGGCGGCGUGCUUAACACAUGCAAGUCGAGCGGAAAGGCCCUUUCGGGGGUCCUCGAGCGGCGAACGGGUGAGUAACACGUGAGUAAUCUGCCCUUCACUUGGGGAUAACCUCCGGAAACGGUGGCUAAUACCCGAUACGACCAUUCCUCGCAUGAGGUGGUGGUGGAAAGUUUUUCGGUGGGGGAUGUGCUCGCGGCCUAUCAGCUUGUUGGUGGGGUAAUGGCCUACCAAGGCUUCGACGGGUAGCCGGCCUGAGAGGGUGACCGGCCACACUGGGACUGAGACACGGCCCAGACUCCUACGGGAGGCAGCAGUGGGGAAUAUUGGACAAUGGGCGGAAGUCUGAUCCAGCAACGCCGCGUGAGGGAUGACGGCCUUCGGGUUGUAAACCUCUUUCACCUGUGACGAAGCGAAAGUGACGGUAGCAGGAGAAGAAGCACCGGCCAACUACGUG